ACCAGUCUUCGGUCAAGGAUAUACGAGUAGCUGCGCUCCCCUGCUAGAACCUUCAAACAAGCUCUUAAUGUCCAUUGUAGGAACGUAGGGUAGUAAAGC
rnacentral:sRNA from 14 species